GCAGUCAAAAUAGGAUAAAGGGUCAGGAAAACCUUAAGAAUUGUAGCAAAAGAGAAACACAGACACAGUUUGAAAGUAAUAGUGAGAGAGAGAAAGUGCCAAUCCUUGGUUCCUUCUUGUCCCUGCUGCCCCUAAGCAGGUUAUUUGUUAGCCAGUUACUCAGCAAACAAGCUGUGACUCUCAUCCCCCCAUUGGCUGUCAAAUAUGAACGCAGAAGCACAGACACACAUGUGGAGAUGCACAGCUGUGUAUCAGGGUUUAUGCCAUCAGGGUUGCCGUGAAGAUGGGCUCAAGGAAAGCCAUCAUUUCCAACUGAUCACAUUGUUUUAUUUAUGGAGGCUAGAGGACAAAUGUCCACUUCAUGGGUCUUUAUUUAUAGUGUGUGGGUCCAUGUGUGUGCAUGACACAGAGUUUGGAUUAUACUGACAUUAAUGAAGUAAAAUGAGGAUAGAACGGAGGAUAAAUGCACAGUGUACAUAUGUGCACUUUCUUGUUUUUGUGUAUUUCGGAUAUAUUUGUCUACAGGCCUGCUAUAAGCCAUUCUGCAGCCUAUCAGUCAGGCCCUCUGUGUUUGUUUGCAUCGAUCUGUUCCUUCUGUCUUUAACCCUCGGACUGAUCCACAGCUCAGCUGGACAGAGAGAGAGAGCCUUUGGCAUUCUGAAGGAAAUGUCACAGCUGUCACCAGUGAAACAGAUACUUUACCUCACUCACUUACAGCGAGGAGGGAGCAGAGAUGCAAGGAGACAAGGGUUAAGGUUGGGGUUUGAGCCUAUUCCAGCUGUCACAGUGUGAGAGGUGGGAUACACUCUGGACAGGCUUCCACUGGCUAACACAGAGAAAGAGACAACCAUUAACACCUACGGCCAACUUAGAAUCACCAAUUAACCCAAGGUGAAUGUCUCUGGACUGUGGGAGGAAGCAGGAGUAGGGGGACAACACAAAACUACACACAGAAGGGGACCAGCCAGCCGGUGGAUUCAAACUCAGAAGAUUCUUGUUGUGAGCGGUGCUCUUUUUGAAAUGAAGUGAUGUGGCCCCUGGAGGUUACUGUGAUCCUCUACGGGAGACAGAUCUUAUGAGUGUGAAUACUCCCACAGAACAUCAUUCAAAAGAUAAGGACAUCUCCUGUAGCCAUUUUUGCUUUGAUGAUUACGGAAGCUUUGAUGACCACUGAAGCACCUGCUCACAUUGGCUGUCUAUUUUAUAAAGCUGGAGCUCCUGGCUGUCCUGCAAGAGCGGUUUACCUGUUAAUUAGAUGUCACUGUGGUGACAUUUAACCAGAAGAGAACAUCU